ensembl:snRNA U6 U6 spliceosomal RNA
GUGCUUGCUUCGGCAGCACAUCUACUAAAAUUUAAACGAAACAGAAAAGAUUACCAUGGCCCCUGCACAAGGAUGACACAUAAAUUCAUGAAGCAUUCCAUAUUUUU